UUCAAAUUUAAAAAAUUUUUCCAACCCAACAAACUUGGAAAAAAAUUUAUGACCGUUGAGGUCGAUUCCGGAAUUUUUUUUCCUGAAAUAUAUUUCCACCGUGGAAGGUGGAAAUAUAUUUCCGGUUAUCUUUUUUUUACCGUUGGGGCACGCUCGCGUCUUCCUCCUUUGCUAAGCUCCGUCCUCCCACUGCCGCAACCCUACCUCGCGUCUUCUUGCUCGGCUGCUCUCCCUACCUCUCCCUUUUAUCGGGUGGUGCGGUUCUUCUUACUCUCGUCCCCAAAUUUGACUCAAAGAAGGCUUCUUCGUCCAGAAUCUCAUUGUCUCCGGCUUCUCUGUCCAGAAGCUGCUCAAGUCCACCAUCAUAGCCUUCAAUGCAGAGUUGCAUGCCACAGCCAACCAGCGCAACUCAGCCGGUUUCUCGUGCUAUAUUUUGGAUUUAAAAGGUAAAGCUGUUAGGAUUUUUCCCCUCAGUUUGUGAAUUGGAUGUUGUAUUUUGUUGUUAAAAAUAGAUGAAGAAAUUCAAGUGAAUCAUGCAUUUGGUUUUUGCCUAAGAUCAUUUGUGCACUGAUAUUCAUUUCGCUGCUUUUGUCUAUUUGUUAAUGCUGCUUAAAAUUAUUUAGAAGAUGUUGUAUUGUUUUUCAAAUGGAGGAAACUGCAUACAAACUUUUUCCUGUUGCUGUUUGACUUAUGAUACUUUUCCUGUUAAUCCUAACUAUGAUUUUCCUUCUUAUACCUAUCUCAGACCAGCUUUUCAGACUUUGGUCUUCACAGAUCAUGCUUGAUGAAAAUAUUCAUUGGAAGCCUAAUCGUUCUGCGUAUUGAAUAAGUUCCUUCUAACAAGUUCCUUAUAGUCAAUUUCAGCUUCAUUUUGGGUUUGGCAAGACUUUUUUUUAAUCUUUCAAAGGUUGUCCAUCCCUCUCAUCAACUUGAGUUGUAGCUAUGUUGUCAAAUGCUAUUUGGGGCUUCUGCCUAGGUUCUCCUAGGCUGUCAGGCUUGUCUAAUUGCUUAAGCUAGUCAGCUUCAGGUGAAUUGUAAUUAUAGAUUUAGCAGUUAGCAUUUAUGAAAUGGUAAGGUUUUGCGUGCUCUAUGACUUUGAAAAGCAUUGAUGUGAGGUUCACCACCAGUUCCAUUCUUUUCUUUGCUGAUGGUUCUUUGACAUGCAGAGAAUCAAUCUAAUGCCUUGUGCUUUUUUAUUUGAUAAAGCAAUCAGUGGUCUACUAAGUAUUUUUCUGAGUAAAGAAAAGUAGGAGUUUCAAUUAAAAUGUCAAUCUGAAGGCUACUGAUAACUCACUGCAUGUUUUCUGAGGAAAUAGAAGAGGUUGAGGGAUGGUAAAAAUAUGCAACAAAGGCAGAGCUACCCCAGACUUUGUGGCGUAAAAAAUAUUAUGCCCUUUAAAAAAUAUUAUGCUCUAUAACAGCUGCCUACUGUGGAGAAUUCUGUUUUCAUUUUCUGCAACAAAGAUGGAAGUUAAGGUUGGUCCAGGAGCAGAAGUUGUGAAUUUGUCAGGUAACAAUGCAGGUUCAGUGACGAAGGCAGUUGGCUGUCGAGGCAUAUGUGUUUUGAGACUGGAAGAAGCCCUUAAAAGCUCUAGUUCCUUGAGAAUUAAGGAGCAAGUAGAUGUCCAUGUGAAAGCUGGUCUUCUAGAGUGGUGGCCGGCAGAGUGGGGUCAUGAAAGCUGGUCCCUAGUUCUCAUCCUUUUUAUUUAACAUGUUGGCUGUCGAGGCAAGUAGAUGUCCAUGUGAAAGCUGGUCCCUAGUUCUCAUCCUUUUUAUUUAACACCCUUGCCUUGUAAACUGAUGCUGUGAAUUGUGAAAGUUGCCGACCUCCCCAGCUAGCUCAUUGAUGGGCGUCACGGGUGGGAGAGAUGAAAGUUAAGAUAUCAAUUUUGUACCGUGAUCAAUAGUAAAUGUACUGAAAUUGUGUUCCUGGCA